rnacentral:tRNA from 1 species
GCCGGGAUGGCGGAACGGUAGACGCAGCGGACUUAAAAUCCGCUGGGGGAGACCCCGUGCAGGUUCGAGUCCUGCUCCCGGCACCA